AUACUCCAAAAUUCUCUUCCAUGAAAAUUUUCCAUCGUAAUUUGCACACUCCUGUACUCCCUUCUGCAAGUAAUAAAUAGCCGGUUGAAAUCUUGCAAGAAAUCAUGGGUCAUGUAGUAUAAGCCACAUGCUUGGUCCAUUCAACAACACG